rnacentral:piRNA from 1 species
GCAGCGAGCGCAGAGGCGGCUGGUGA